rnacentral:tRNA from 1 species
UCACUGAUAGUGUAUUGGCUAGUACACCCGCCUGUCACGCGGGAGAGCUGGGUUCAAUUCCCAGUCAGAGAG